AUACGAAAGGUGCAAGCGUUGUUCGGAUUUACUGGGCGUAAAGAGAUCGUAGGUGGUUUGUUAAGUCGGAUGUGAAAUCCCGGGGCUCAACCCCGGAACUGCAUUCGAUACUGGCAGACUAGAGUUCGGGAGGGGUAAGCGGAAUUCCGUGUGUAGCAGUGAAAUGCGUAGAUAUACGGAGGAACACCUGAGGCGAAGGCGGCUUACUGGACCGAUACUGACACUGAGGAUCGAAAGCGUGGGUAGCAAACAGGAUUAGAAACCCUAGUAGUCC
rnacentral:rRNA from 1 species